AUGCGCAGGCGCAGUGAACGGGCGCCGUUAUAAGGGGGCGGGGCACAAGGGGCGGGGAUCCACGCCGAGGCUCCACCCCUCCUUAGGGCAGGUAUGACCGAGAGCUGGGGCGGGAGCGUUGACCUGUCGGGUAAAGCCAGCCCUACCGCUCGACUCAGUUGCACGCGCAGGGAGUGUGUGUUCACUCUGACUCGGCCCGGCUCCCCGUCCCCGCCGAAGCGCAGAGGCGAAUGAGAGCUGAGUCCUGGGGAGCAGCGCUCCGACUCACGCCCUCAGCAAGCCGAGUGUUUAAAAUACAUUCAGCCACUAGAUGUCGCUGUGGCCCCACCGCGAGGACGCGGAGGGAGGCGCUGCAGAGCACGGGCGACGUGACCACAGCUGUCGGGGCUAACUCUGGAAUGCCGGGUGCUCGGAGGAGCCUCCCCAGCUGGGGCCAAGCAGCGUCCAAGCAGGUGAAAAGGAUGCGCCCCUGUGGCUUGGAGACGCUUGCCCUCGAAAAAGUUUAUUAAACAAACUUGGGAGGGACCUCAAGAAUCCUUACAUCCAAGCCAUCGCUCUUUAGUUCGAAGCUGGGGAAACUGAGGCCCGCAGCGGGCGGCGCCUGGCACCCCAAUCAGCCAGCGCUCAGGGGAGUUGCUAGCCAAAAUCCACGAAUCUGUCAAGAUACAGUCUUGUAUCUUAGUGGCCUGUCACAGAGUAAGCACUUGGUAACUACUAACUUGUUGAUAAAUGAAUAAUUGAAGACAUCUCCAUUUUACAGAGGAGGAAACAGAUUCAGAUGGCAAAGGCAGGUAAGUAGCUAAGUCAGGAUUCAAACCCAGGACUCCAGAGGCUAACAACCCUCACUGCCUCUGUCUUGUCCUGGGCCAGCCCCAACAGCAUCUGUUGGCAGAGGUGUCAAAGGAGACGUUGGAGACAUUAUCUUGGAUCCAGGAAAUGAAGGGAUUCACAGAAAACGGGACGUGCUACUUUACCAGCACAUCACUGGGGGUAGGAGAUGAGGUCAGAGAACUCGCCAGGCCCAGAUCACCCAGCGCCUGAGUGGCUGGAGGUUAACUAGCAACCCAGGUGGCAGGUGGAAGAUGGAGAUUCACGAUUGCUUCUGGAAGACUCGCUGUGUGAUUCCGCCCACCCCAUGGCCAUUCC
rnacentral:lncRNA from 1 species